rnacentral:miRNA from 1 species
UUGCACAAAGAGUCUCAUGUCU